ACCAUCGUGAGGUGGCGAGGAGAAGAAGAGAUAACGAAAUCGUGGCUCCACGAACAGGAACACAAUACGAAGGCGCGUAUAGCGGAUGAGAUGGCGAAAAGCAUUAAAGUCCAAAUAGAUAGUCGUAACCUAUGCGUGUAAAUUGUGGGAGUAAACGAUGAAAGAUGUAUGAC
rnacentral:ncRNA from 1 species